AUUGAACGCUGGCGGCAGGCCUAACACAUGCAAGUCGAGCGGAUGAAGGGAGCUUGCUCCUGGAUUCAGCGGCGGACGGGUGAGUAAUGCCUAGGAAUCUGCCUGGUAGUGGGGGAUAACGUCCGGAAACGGGCGCUAAUACCGCAUACGUCCUGAGGGAGAAAGUGGGGGAUCUUCGGACCUCACGCUAUCAGAUGAGCCUAGGUCGGAUUAGCUAGUUGGUGGGGUAAAGGCCUACCAAGGCGACGAUCCGUAACUGGUCUGAGAGGAUGAUCAGUCACACUGGAACUGAGACACGGUCCAGACUCCUACGGGAGGCAGCAGUGGGGAAUAUUGGACAAUAGGCGAAAGCCUGAUCCAGCCAUGCCGCGUGUGUGAAGAAGGUCUUCGGAUUGUAAAGCACUUUAAGUUGGGAGGAAGGGCAGUAAGUUAAUACCUUGCUGUUUUGACGUUACCAACAUAAUAAGCACCGGCUAACUUCGUG
rnacentral:rRNA from 1 species